UACAUUCACAAUGAUGCGUCAUUCUUUGACCUCCCCUCUCCUUUCAUUCAUUCGGCCGCUUCAUCAACACUGGGUCGCGUGCCAUCGCUGCGCUGCGAGCGAGUCACACAGAACACAAACAUGACGAGAUAAGCUAAAAUUAAGACGAUUCAUUUUAUUUUUUUUAAUUGGUCUUCCUUGAAGUAAACCAUGACAAAUAUACAGAUUUUAGGCUUAGACCAAGUUCGCAAUGAAUGAUGGGCAAGGCAGAAAAAGUCUUACUACGCCGGCUAUAAAAAAUAGUGGUGCUCGAUGGGAUAUCCUCUAUCAAUGGGAGAGCGCCAGGCCAGUCAGCCGUCAACACAAACACAGCUAGUGCCGCGCUGAGAGCAAGAUACUUGUUGCGUCCGCAAUGACGCCUUUCUUUCAAAGAUUUAUUUGAUUUGAAACAACUCACAGCAAAAAUAUACGCACAACACACUGCACUGAUAAGAACAACAGUUUAAGCCAAUCAAAUUUGACACACGCAGCAGUGAAAGAAGUUUCCUGGCCGCGCGCAGCUGCAAAAAUUCAUAUCAGCAUACAAAAUCCUCUCUAUAUCGAGGUCAACGGUCUAUAUAAAAAUUGAACACCUCAUCGCUCACCAUCCCCAGAAGAAUGUGCGAGGAAAAUCCCCACACUAUGAAUUUGAAGCUAAACUUGGCCAUGCAUCGAUUAUUCACCUUUCCACCUCAAUUUCGGCGGGAAUACCCCGUUGACCUGCUGGCGGAUCUUGGCUUCAUCUUUGAAAAGAACGGCGAGUGUGAAUUUGUGCGUUGCUACUUUUGCGAACUGUCCAUCAGUCGAGAGGAAUUUCUGAUUUAUUUUACCAAAGAAAUUCGAGAUGCCAAAAAACAUGUACAUCCAAAUUGUAAAAUUCGCGAUGCCGAAUCAAAAAAUUUUCCGAUGUCAGAACCACUCGUGAUGACUUACAAAUUCGAGUCGCACCGCCUAUACUCAUUGCUGAAAAAGAAUGAUUGGCAGCACGUGAAUCCCUUUGCAUUAGCAAGAAGCGGAUUUUUUUACCUUGGUAAAGGUGACCAUGUCCAAUGUGCCUUCUGCAAUCUGGAAGUGACAGCGUGGCAAGAAGGAGACAAUCCUGACGUAGAGCACGCGAAAUUUAACGAAAUGUGUCCGUUUUUGCGUGACCCUUUAGGUGUCGGAGACAUCGUGAUUGGAAGUGAGCAAAUUGAAAUGGCACACGAUGGCCUUGGAAAAACAAAUCCUGGCGCCACGAUUUACAACCCUGAGGAUGAAACUGACCACGGAGACCAUAAAACAACAAUUGACGAACAAUAAGUCCAGACUCAUCUUAUUUACAAUUUACAUUAUAGUGAGAAAAUCUCGUAUAUUUUCUCUUUAUUGCCUUGUUGUAAUUUUUAACCUGAGAAUAAUCAGAUUAUUCUAAACGAAAUAUGUGCUUAAAUUUUUCAUUAAAAAUUGCUCGAAAAUA